UUUAAGAGUUAGAGUAGUUACUGCAGCUCUAGAAGAACUAACAGUCAGUAGAUCUCACGCUCCAUUUAACAUUAUGCUAAUCCCACUUCUUUGAUAUUUCCCAUCCCAAAGAUUACAGUGAGAUUUCCAAAGCAAUACACUGAGGGCUGAGAUGCUCAUGAAAUCUGGGGGUUAUGAAAAACCUCUGCAGAGUGCAGCCCAAUCUUGCUAUGCAUUUUGGUGAUCAGGCUGAGCAGGUGCAAGGAGCUGGGUGGUUUGGUGAUUGCAGAGGGGCUGCAGCUGGGUUGCUGCUGGCUCAGGGUGCCUCCCUGGUGGGAUUACUUUGAUGUGGCACAGGGAUACAGCAAGUGAAGCGUAGCUGCAGCUCUUUUGGGGAGCACUGGAGAACAGCCUUGUCCUCCUGGUCUGGAAGGUCAGGCAUGUGCCGGCUGCUUGAUGGAGGGGAUGAGAGCAGAGCAGCAGGCUGGAGGAGCUGCCUCACACCGUGCCACGUCCACCUGCCUUGAGGAGAAUAUGCUUCUACUGAGUAUAAGUUCCUGGCUAAGCAGAGAAAGCAAGCUGAUGUGUGAUGCACAAAAGCCACGCUGUUGGAACAGCAGAGCAGGUACUCUCAGGGAUGCUUGGGACAAGGACUGUAGUGAACAAGAUUUGCCAAAAUCUCGUAACUGGAG
rnacentral:lncRNA from 1 species